rnacentral:rRNA from 1 species
GACGAACGCUGGCGGCGUGCCUAAUACAUGCAAGUAGAACGCUGAAGGAAGGAGCUUGCUCUUUCUGGAUGAGUUGCGAACGGGUGAGUAACGCGUAGGUAACCUGCCUGGUAGCGGGGGAUAACUAUUGGAAACGAUAGCUAAUACCGCAUAAAAUUGAUUAUUGCAUGAUAGUCAAUUAAAAGGUGCAACUGCACCACUACCAGAUGGACCUGCGUUGUAUUAGCUAGUUGGUGGGGUAACGGCUCACCAAGGCGACGAUACAUAGCCGACCUGAGAGGGGGAGAGGCCAGACGGGGACUGAGACACGGCCCAGACGCCAACGGGAGGCAGCAGUAGGGAAUCUUCGGCAAUGGACGGAAGUGUGAACGAGCAACGCCGAGGGAGUGAAGAAGGGUUUCGGAUCGUAAAGCUCUGUUGUAAGAGAAGAACGAGUGGGGGAGUGGAAAGUUCACACUGUGACGGGAGCUUAACAGAAAGGGAAGGCUAACUACGUG